rnacentral:rRNA from 1 species
AGUGAACGCUGGCGGUAGGCCUAACACAUGCAAGUCGAACGGCAGCACAGUAAGAGCUUGCUCUUACGGGUGGCGAGUGGCGGACGGGUGAGGAAUACAUCGGAAUCUACUUUUUCGUGGGGGAUAACGUAGGGAAACUUACGCUAAUACCGCAUACGACCUACGGGUGAAAGCAGGGGAUCUUCGGACCUUGCGCGAUUGAAUGAGCCGAUGUCGGAUUAGCUAGUUGGCGGGGUAAAGGCCCACCAAGGCGACGAUCCGUAGCUGGCCUGAGAGGAUGAUCAGCCACACUGGAACUGAGACACGGUCCAGACUCCUACGGGAGGCAGCAGUGGGGAAUAUUGGACAAUGGGCGCAAGCCUGAUCCAGCCAUACCGCGUGGGUGAAGAAGGCCUUCGGGUUGUAAUGCCCUUUUGUUGGGAAAGAAAAGCAGCAGGUUAAUACCCCGCUGUUCUGACGGUACCCAAAGAAUAAGCACCGGCUAACUUCGUG